CCCACUUGCCUCGGAGUCUCAGGCCGUUGCCCAGGUCCUCCCGGUAAAACCCUGGAGAUUGCUAGGGAGAGGAGCAAGGGAGGGGCCAGCGCGCAGAAGUGCGGACGCAAGCCGGCGGCCGCGGGCGAGACUUAUGCGUAGCUUCAAGAAACAGCUAGGGAGACUGCAGGAGUCUCCAGAGCGCGCGCGCGGGCCCUCCCCGGCCCGACCCACGCGGCGCGGCGUGGUGACGCCCGCGCGGCCUGAGGAAGGGGCGGGGUCGGGGCGGGCCUCCGCGCUCCUCCCGCCCUCUGUGUGUCCCUACUCUCCCUCCCCUUCCCUCCCCCACACUCGGCCCCUUCAGCUUGGGGGUGCCUUCGUCGCGCAGCCUCGCGUCGGCCCGGCCCGGCCAGGCCAGCGGGCAGAUGCCCCGAGCUGCCGCCGCCGCCGCCGCCGACUCGGCCGGUGGGGGUGUGGGAGGUGGGCGACCAGCCCGGGGCCGCUGAGUGUGACGGACGCAACUGGGGGCGCCGGGGGCUCCGCACGGACCAUGUAUUUUCUGAGCGGCUGGCCCAAGAGGCUGCUGUGCCCUCUGGGAAGCCCGGCCGAGGCGCCUUUCCACGUUCAGUCCGACCCGCAGAGGGCUUUCUUCGCCGUGCUGGCCGCGGCCCGCCUCAGCAUCUGGUACAGCCGACCUAGUGUGUUAAUUGUAACCUACAAGGAGCCUGCAAAAUCAUCUACUCAGUUUGGAUCCUACAAACAAGCUGAAUGGAGGCCAGAUAGUACCAUGAUAGCUGUAUCAACGGCAAAUGGAUACAUCUUGUUUUUUCAUAUUACAUCUACAAGAGGGGACAAGUACCUUUAUGAACCAGUGUAUCCCAAAGGAAGUCCACAAAUGAAGGGGACACCCCAUUUUAAGGAAGAACAGUGUGCUCCAGCAUUAAAUUUAGAGAUGAGGAAAAUACUGGAUUUACAAGCACCCAUCAUGAGUUUGCAGUCUGUGUUGGAAGAUCUCCUGGUUGCUACUUCUGAUGGACUUCUUCAUCUUAUUCACUGGGAAGGAAUGACAAAUGGAAGGAAAGCCAUUAAUCUUUGCACAGUACCCUUUUCAGUAGACCUGCAGUCAUCUAGAGUAGGUUCAUUCCUGGGCUUCACAGACGUACACAUCAGAGACAUGGAAUACUGUGCCACACUUGAUGGGUUUGCUGUUGUAUUUAAUGAUGGUAAAGUUGGAUUUAUUACACCAGUGUCAAGUAGAUUUACUGCAGAGCAGCUUCAUGGAGUUUGGCCACAAGAUGUUGUUGACGGAACGUGUGUAGCAGUAAAUAACAAGUAUCGACUAAUGGCAUUUGGCUGUGUGAGUGGUUCUGUGCAGGUCUAUACAAUAGAUAACAGCACUGGAGCCAUGCUGCUAUCUCAUAAAUUAGAGCUAACAGCAAAACAGUAUCCUGACAUUUGGAAUAAAACAGGAGCUGUUAAAUUGAUGAGAUGGUCUCCUGACAAUAGUGUUGUAAUAGUGACCUGGGAAUACGGAGGCCUUUCUUUAUGGAGUGUUUUUGGAGCACAGCUGAUUUGUACACUUGGAGGAGAUUUUGCUUAUAGGUCUGAUGGCACCAAAAAAGAUCCCCUUAAGAUCAACUCUAUGAGCUGGGGUGCAGAAGGCUAUCACCUAUGGGUAAUCAGCGGAUUUGGUUCUCAAAACACUGAAAUUGAGUCUGACCUCAGGAGUGUAGUUAAACAGCCCAGCAUCCUGUUAUUUCAGUUUAUUAAGAGUGUACUCACUGUAAACCCUUGUAUGAGUAACCAAGAGCAGGUGUUGCUUCAGGGUGAGGAUCGCUUGUACUUGAACUGUGGAGAGGCUUCACAAACCCAGAAUCCCAGGAGUUCUUCAACACACUCUGAGCAUAAGCCCAGUCGAGAAAAGAGCCCAUUUGCAGAUGGAGGUUUAGAGUCUCAGGGAUUAAGCACUUUACUUGGACAUCGGCAUUGGCAUGUUGUACAGAUUUCCAGCACCUAUCUAGAGAGCAAUUGGCCUAUACGGUUUUCAGCUAUUGAUAAGCUUGGACAGAAUAUUGCUGUGGUUGGCAAGUUUGGUUUUGCACAUUACUCUUUACUCACCAAAAAAUGGAAACUUUUUGGAAACAUUACCCAGGAGCAAAAUAUGAUCGUGACAGGUGGCUUAGCCUGGUGGAAUGAUUUUAUGGUCCUUGCGUGUUAUAACAUAAAUGACCGUCAAGAAGAGCUUAGAGUAUACUUGCGAACAUCAAAUCUGGACAAUGCCUUUGCUCAUGUCACCAAAGCACAAGCAGAAACAUUACUGCUUAGUGUCUUCCAGGACAUGGUAAUAGUAUUUAGAGCAGACUGUUCAAUAUGCCUUUACAGUAUUGAAAGAAAAUCUGAUGGUCCAAAUACUACUGCUGGUAUUCAGGUUCUUCAGGAGGUUUCCAUGUCACGCUACAUUCCUCACCCUUUCCUGGUGGUGUCUGUCACUCUGACAUCAGUGAGUACAGAGAAUGGAAUCACCUUGAAAAUGCCACAGCAGGCUCGUGGUGCAGAGAGCAUUAUGUUAAACCUGGCAGGACAGCUCAUCAUGAUGCAGAGGGACAGGUCAGGCCCACAGAUCCGGGAGAAGGACAGUAACCCUAAUAACCAAAGGAAACUUCUGCCAUUCUGUCCUCCUGUUGUACUAGCCCAGUCUGUUGAAAAUGUCUGGACAACGUGUCGAGCAAAUAAACAGAAACGUCACCUUCUGGAGGCCCUCUGGCUGAGCUGUGGUGGUGCAGGGAUGAAAGUUUGGCUCCCUCUCUUCCCUAGGGAUCACCGCAAGCCCCAUUCCUUCUUGUCCCAGCGGAUCAUGCUGCCUUUCCACAUCAACAUUUACCCACUAGCUGUUCUGUUUGAAGAUGCUUUAGUCCUUGGUGCUGUCAAUGACACUUUGCUCUAUGAUUCUUUAUAUACUCGGAACAAUGCUAGAGAACAGCUGGAGGUGCUCUUCCCUUUCUGUGUUGUGGAGAGAACCUCUCAGAUCUACCUCCACCACAUUCUACGUCAACUUCUGGUCAGAAACCUUGGGGAGCAAGCCUUGCUCUUGGCCCAGUCCUGUGCCACAUUACCUUACUUCCCUCAUGUGCUGGAGCUCAUGCUCCAUGAAGUACUGGAAGAAGAAGCUACCUCACGGGAGCCCAUUCCCGACCCUCUGCUUCCCACUGUGGCAAAAUUUAUCACUGAGUUCCCCCUCUUCCUGCAGACAGUUGUCCAUUGUGCCAGGAAGACCGAAUAUGCCCUGUGGAAUUACCUUUUUGCAGCUGUUGGAAACCCUAAGGACUUGUUUGAGGAAUGUUUGAUGGCUCAGGAUUUGGACACAGCUGCCUCUUACCUUAUUAUCUUACAGAAUAUGGAAGUCCCUGCAGUAAGUAGGCAACAUGCUACCCUUCUAUUCAACACAGCACUAGAACAAGGCAAGUGGGACCUUUGUCGACACAUGAUUCGAUUUCUUAAAGCCAUUGGCUCUGGAGAAUCUGAGACACCUCCAUCCACACCCACAGCUCAGGAACCCAGUUCAAGUGGUGGAUUUGAGUUCUUCAGGAAUCGAAGCAUCAGUUUAUCCCAGUCAGCUGAAAAUGUUCCUGCCAGUAAAUUCAGUUUACAGAAAACACUAAGUAUGCCAUCUGGUCCCUCUGGAAAAAGAUGGAGCAAAGACAGUGACUGUGCUGAAAACAUGUAUAUUGACAUGAUGCUCUGGAGACAUGCUCGGCGCCUCUUAGAAGAUGUGAGGUUAAAGGACCUUGGCUGCUUUGCAGCCCAGCUGGGCUUUGAACUAAUUAGUUGGCUAUGCAAGGAACGUACCCGAGCUGCCCGGGUAGACAACUUUGUAAUAGCCCUGAAGAGACUCCACAAAGAUUUCCUGUGGCCACUUCCAAUCAUCCCAGCCUCUUCUAUCAGUUCUCCUUUCAAAAAUGGAAAAUACCGAACGGUGGGAGAGCAGCUGUUAAAGUCUCAAUCAGCUGACCCAUUUUUAAACCUUGAGAUGGAUGCUGGCAUCUCCAACAUCCAGCGAAGUCAGAGCUGGCUCAGCAACAUUGGCCCCACCCAUCAUGAGAUAGACACAGCUUCAUCCCAUGGACCACAAAUGCAAGAUGCCUUCUUGUCACCUUUAUCUAAUAAAGGUGAUGAAUGCAGUAUUGGUUCAGCCACAGACUUGACUGAAAGUAGCUCCAUGGUGGAUGGCGACUGGACAAUGGUGGAUGAAAAUUUCUCUACACUCAGUUUAACUCAGUCAGAGCUGGAGCACAUUUCCAUGGAGUUGGCCAGUAAAGGGCCUCAUAAAUCCCAGGUCCAGCUUCGGUAUUUGCUACACAUUUUCAUGGAGGCAGGGUGCCUAGACUGGUGCAUCGUUAUAGGCCUGAUUCUUAGAGAAUCCUCAAUAAUCAAUCAGAUUUUGGUUAUUACACAGUCUUCAGAGGUAGAUGGAGAGAUGUUACAGAACAUAAAGACAGGGCUCCAUGCAGUGGACCGAUGGGCCUCUACAGACUGUCCUGGAUAUAAGCCAUUUUUAAACAUCAUUAAGCCACAACUGCAGAAGCUCAGUGAGAUAACAGAAGAGCAGGUCCAGCCAGAUGCCUUCCAACCAAUAACUGUGGGUAAGACUCCAGAACAGACUAGCCCCCGGGCAGAGGAGAGCAGGGGCUCCUCCAGCCAUGGAAGCAUCCCCCAGGGUGAAGUUGGAAGCAGCAAUGUGGUCAGCCGGAAAGAGGAGGACACAGCCCAAGCAGAGGAGGAAGAACCUUUUCAGGAUGGGACUUACGACUGUUCUGUGUCCUAACAGUAAGGUUCCAUCACAAAGGGGCAGUAUUAAUUAGCAGCAGCGUGCAACUCAGUACGUUGUAACAUAGUUGGAUGAUUUAACAGGAGAACUCAGUUCAAAGACUCUUUGAUUUAGAAUGAGAGCAUCAAGAGUUGGCAACAUCCUAGAUGCCUGACAGUAAAAUACUGGAGGAAACAUCCCAUGUCGAUGACAUGGAAAAUGUUCAAAAUAUAAUGAAGGAAUGACAGAAAAUUAUGUAUACCUUAAGAUACCUACCAAGCAAACAAAAUUUUACAUGUAAGUAUAUAAUAAGUGGGAUUAAAAAGUACUUUGACUUUUUCCCAUUUUCCUAAUUUCAGUCUCCAUGGAUUUGCCUAUUCUGGACAUUUCAUAUAAAUGGAAACAUAUAGUAUGUGAACUUUUCUAUCUCACUUCUUGGCACCAAAGCAUGUUGUUAUUUUGGCUGUAGCCAUCCAAGUUGUAUAUGAAGUAGUGUCUCAUCAUAGUUUAGAUUUUCAUUUACCUAAUGGUUAAUGUAAAUCUUCUCAUAGGAUUAUUAGCCAUUUGUCUAUUUAUUUUUGAAGAAAAAUGUCUGUUUAAUUAGGUCGUUUAAUUGUUGAUUUGCUGGAGUUCUUUAUAUAUUCUGGAUACUAUUUUAUGUACAUAUAAAUUGCAAAUAUUUCUUCAUUCUGUGGGCUUUUCACUUUUUUAGAUUUCAAUAUUCAAGUUUUUUUUUAAGUAUGUUAAUUACAGCAUUUGAAGGGGAGGAUCUAAUUCCACACAAAAUGGAAGACUCUAAAAUGUACCCAUUAAAUACUGCUAAAAAAAAAAACAAAUUGAGUGGUGAGAAUACAACAGAAGUCUGACUUAGAUUGAGUGUUAUCACCAUGUGAUUACAAUCACACAGACUCUGAAUCAUUUCACUUUCUCGAUAAUGUCCUUUGAAACACUGUUUUUAAGUCCAACUUAUUUUUUCUUUGGUUGCUUGUGCCUAAUCCAGGGUUAUGAAUAUUUAUGACUAAGUUUUAAGAAUUUUAUAGUUAUAUCUCCUACAUUUAGGUCUUUGAUCCAUUUUGAGUUAAUCUUCAUAUAUGAUAUGAAAGAGAGAUCUGACUUCAUUCUUCUAAUGUGGCUAUUCAAUUGUCAGAGCACCAUUUAUGGAAAGGAUUUUUUUCCCAUUGUCAAAAAUCAACUAUAGAUGUAUGGGUUUAUUUAUAGAUUCUUAAUUGUAUUCUAAUGAUCUAUAAUAUCUUCUUAUGCCAAUACCACAUUGCCUUGAUUUCUGUUGCUUUGUAGGAAAUUUUGAAAGUGAGAGUCCUAAGUUUGUUUUUUCUAGGCUGUUUUGGCUAUUCUAGGUCCCUUGUAUUUCCAUAUGAAUUUCAGGAUCAGCUUGUCAAUUUCUAUACUAAAAUAAAGGCAGUUGGGAUUUUCAUAAGUGUUGUAUUCAUGACAUAAAGCAAUGUGGAGAAUAUUGCCAUAUUAAGCCUUCCAGUCCAUGAACAUGAGAUGUCUUUCCAUUUAUUGGUUUUUUAAUGUCUUUUAACAGUGGAUUAUAAUUUUUGCUAAGUCUCAUACUUUUGUUAGAUUUAUUUCUAAGUAUUGCUACUGUAAAAAAAUGGAAUUUUCUGUUUUUGGAUUGUGUAUAUAAAUACAAUUGCUUCUGUAUAUUGACAUUGCAUCAUGCAACAUCAAACUUUUUCUUUUUUGUGGAUUCCUUAGGAUUUUCUACAUUGAAGGUCAUGUUGUUUGCAACCAGAGAUAGUUUGAAUUCUUCCUUUUCAAUCUGGAUGCCUUUUCUUUCUUUCUCCUGCCAAACUCUCCUGGCUAGAGCCACUGGUACAAUGCUUAUUAGGUGGCAAUAGUUGAUAUCCUUGUCUUCUGAUCUUAGGGAGAAGCUUUCUCUCAUCACUAAUUAUGAUGCUAGCUGUGGGUUUUUUAUUGAUAAGCUUUAUCUGGUUGAGGAUGUUGCCUUCUGUAUAGUUUGUCUUUUACAAAAUCCAAAUCCCUUCCAUGAUAAAAACACUCAACAAACAUACAUUGCAUCUAUUGAAGUAGUCACGUGGUUUUUGUCCUUUAUUCUAUUAAUAAAUAUGGUACAUUACACUGAUUUUCAAAUGUUUUUGUUUUAAGACAGAAUUUUGCUCUGUCACCCAUGCUGGAAGGAAGUGGCGCAGUCAUGGCUUGCUGCAGCCUCAACCUCCUGAGCUCAAGCCAUCCUCCUACCUCAGUUUCUAUAGUAGUUGGGCCCACAAGCACACACCACCAUGCCCUGCUAAAUUUUGUGUUUUUAGUAGAGUCAGGGUUUUGCCAUGUUGUCCAGGCCAGUCUCAAACUCCUGGGCUUAAGCAAUCCACCCACCUCGGCCUCCCAAAGUGCUGAAAUUAAGCAUGUGCCACCGCACCUGGCCAACUUUCUGUUAAACCAACCUUGCAUUCCUGGCAUAAAUUCCAUUUGGUCAUGCUGUAGAGCCAAAUUGGAGAAAAAAGAAAUUAUUACCAACAUGUUAUGUUUUUACAAGUCAAAUAUGGAAGUAGAAGUGUCAAAAAAUACAGAUACACUCCAAAAAUCCCUACGUAUUUCAACUAAAAACAGACAUUAAGAGCCGUAGCAACUGGGAUUGCUGGCAAGAUGGCUGAAUAGGAACAGCUCUGGUCUGCAGCUCCCAGCAAGAUCGACACAGAAGGUGGGUGAUUUCUGCAUUUCCAGCUGAGGUACCUGGUUCAUCUCACUGGGACUGGUUGGACAGUGGGUGCAGCCCUGUGAGGGUAAGCCAAAGCCAGGGUAGUUCGUUGCCUCACCUGGGAAGCACAAGGGGUUGGGGAACUCCUCCUCCCAGCCAAGGGAAGCCAUUAGGUACUGUUAGGGACUGUAUCUUGCAAUCCAGCCCAGAUACUGUGCUUUUCCCACAGUCUUUGCAACCCGCAGACCAGGAGAUUCCCUCCAGUGCCCACGCCACCAGGGCCCUGGGUUUCCAGUACAAAACUGGAUGGCUGUUCUGGGCAGACACAAAGCUAGCCGCAGGUUUUUUUUCAUACCCCAGUGGCACCUGAAACACCAGUCAGAACCAUUCACUCCCCUGGAAAGGGGGCUGAAGCUAGGGAGCCAAGUGGUCUGGUUCGGUGGGUCCCACCCCCACAGAGCCCAGCAAGCUAAGAUCCACUGGCUUGAAAUUCUUGCUGCUGGCACAGCAGUCUGAGUUUGACCUGGGAUGCUCCAACAUGGGGGGAGGGGCGUCCACCAUUGCUGAGGCUUGAGUAGGCAGUUUUACCCUCACAGUGUAAACAAAGUCACUGGGAAGUUCAAAAUGGGUGGAGCCCCCUGCAGUUCAGCAAGGCAACUGCAGCCAGACUGCCUCUCUAGAUUCCCUCCUCUCUAGGCAGGGCAACUCUGAAAAAAAGGCAGCAGCCCCAGUCAGGGACGAACAGAUAAAACCCCCACCUCCCUGGGACAGAGCACUUUGGACAAAGGGCAGUUGUGGGCGCAGCUUCAGCGGACUUAUUUAAACGUCCCUGCCUGGCAGCUCUGAAGAGAGCAGCGGAUCUCCCAGCACAGCAUUUGAGCUCUGAUAAAGGACAGAUUAACUCCUCAAGUGGGUCCUCCCAGUAGGUGCCAACAGACACCUCAUACAGGAGAGCUCUAGCUAGCAUCUGGCAGGUACCCCUGUAGGACGAAGCUUCCAGAGGAAGGAACAGGCAGCAAUCUUUGCUGUUCUGCAGCCUUCACCAGUGAUACCCAGGCAAACAGGGUCUGGACUGGACCUCAAGUCAACUCCAGCCAACCUGCAGCAGAGGGCCUGAAUGUAAGAAGGAAAACCACCAAACAGAAAGGAAUACUAUCAACAUCAACAAAAAGGAUGUCCACUCAAGAGAUCCCAGCUGAAGGUCACCAACUUCAAAGGUAGAUAAAUCCAUGAAGAUGAGGAGAAAACAGCACAAAAAGGCUGAAAAUUCCAAAAAGCAGAUCACCUCUUCUCCUCCAAAGGAUCACAACUCCUUGCCAGCAAGGGAACAGAACUGGACAGAGAAUGAGUUUGAUGAAUUGACAGAAGUAAGCUUCAGAAGGUGGGUAAUAACAAACUCCUCCUCCAAGCUAAAGGAGUGUAUGUUCUAACCCAAUGGAAGGAAGCUAAGAACCUUGAAAAAAGGUUAGACAAAUUGCUAACUAGAAUAACUAGUUUACAGAAGAAUAUAAAUGACCUGGUUGAUAGAGCUGAAAACAACAGCACGAGAACUUCAUAAAGCAUACACAGGUAUCAACAGCCGAAUUGAUCAAGUGGAAGAAAGGAUAUCAGAGACUGAAGAUCAACUCAAUGAAAUAAAGCAAGAAGACAAGAUUAGAGAAAAAAAGAGUGAAAAGAAACAAACAAAGCCUCCAAGAAAUAUGGGACUACGUGAAAAGGCCAAAUCUACAUUUGAUUGGUGUACCUGAAAGCAACAGGGACAAUGGAACCAAGUUGGAAAACACUCUUCAGGAUAUUAUUUAGGAGAACUUCCCCAACCUAGCAAGUCAGGCCAACAUUCAAUUCAGGAAAUACAGAGAACGCCACAAAGAUACUCCUCGAGAAGAGCAACCCCAAGACAGAAUCAUGAGAUUCACCAAGGUUGAAAUGAAGGAAAAAAUACUAGGGGCAGCCAGAGAGAGAGGUCAGGUUACCCACAAAGGGAAGCCCAUCAGACUAACAGUGGAUCUCUCAGCAGAAAGUCUACAAGCCAGAAGAGAGUGGGGGCCCAUAUUCAACAUUCUUAAAGAAUUUUCAACCCAGAAUUUCAUAUCCAGCCAAACCGAGCUUCAUAAGCAAAGGAGAAAUAAAGUCCUUUACAGACAAGCAAAUGCUGAGAUGUUUGUCACCACCAGGCCUGCCUUACAAGAGUUCCUGAAGGAAGCACUAAACAUGGAAAUGAACAACCAGUACCAGCCAUUGCAAAAACAUACCAAAUUGUAAAGGCCAUCGACGGUAUGAAGAAACUGCAUCAACUAACAGGCAAAAUAACCAGCCAGCAUCAUAAUGGCAGGAUCAAAUUCACACAUAACAACAUUAACCUUAAAUAUAAAUGCGCUAAAUGCCCCAAUUAAAAGACAUAACUGGACAAAGAGUCAAGACCCAUCAGUGUGGUGUAUUCAGGAGAUGCAUCUCACAUGCAAAGACACACACAUGCUCAAAAUAAAGGGAUGGAGGAAUAUUUACCAAGCAAAUGAAAAGCAAAAAUAAAAGCAGGGGUUGCAAUCCUAGUUUCUGAUAAAACAGACUUUAAACCAACAAAGAUCAAGAGGGACAAAGAAGGCCAUUACAUAAUGGUAAAGGGAUCAAUGCAACAAGAAGAGCUAACUAUCUUAAAUAUAUAUGUACCCAAUACAGGAGCACCCAGAUUUAUAAAGUUCUUAGAGACCUACAAAGAGACUUAGAUUCCCACACAAUAAUGGUGGGAGACUUUAACACCCCACUGUCAAUAUUAGAUCAACAUGAUUGUAUAUUUAGAAAACCCCAUAGUCUCAGCCCAAAGUCUCCUUAAGCUGAUAAGCAACUUCAGCAAAGUCUCAGGAUACAAA